rnacentral:rRNA from 1 species
AUUGAACGCUGGCGGCAGGCCUAACACAUGCAAGUCGAGCGGAUGAAGGGAGCUUGCUCCUGGAUUCAGCGGCGGACGGGUGAGUAAUGCCUAGGAAUCUGCCUGGUAGUGGGGGAUAACGUCCGGAAACGGGCGCUAAUACCGCAUACGUCCUGAGGGUGAAAGUGGGGGAUCUUCGGACCUCACGCUAUCAGAUGAGCCUAGGUCGGAUUAGCUAGUUGGUGGGGUAAAGGCCUACCAAGGCGACGAUCCGUAACUGGUCUGAGAGGAUGAUCAGUCACACUGGAACUGAGACACGGUCCAGACUCCUACGGGAGGCAGCAGUGGGGAAUAUUGGACAAUGGGCGAAAGCCUGAUCCAGCCAUGCCGCGUGUGUGAAGAAGGUCUUCGGAUUGUAAAGCACUUUAAGUUGGGGGGAAGGGCAGUAAGUUAAUACCUUGCUGUUUUGACGUUACCAACAGAAUAAGCACCGGCUAACUUCGUG